UACGGAGGGGACUAGCGUUGUUCGGAAUUACUGGGCGUAAAGCGCACGUAGGCGGAUUUGUAAGUCAGGGGUGAAAUCCUGGAGCUCAACUCCAGAACUGCCUUUGAUACUGAAGAUCUUGAGUUCGGGAGAGGUGAGUGGAACUGCGAGUGUAGAGGUGAAAUUCGUAGAUAUUCGCAAGAACACCAGUGGCGAAGGCGGCUCACUGGCCCGAUACUGACGCUGAGGCACGAAAGCGUGGGGAGCAAACAGGG
rnacentral:rRNA from 1 species